AUUGAACGCUGGCGGCAGGCCUAACACAUGCAAGUCGAGCGAGCGGCGGACGGGUGAGUAAGGAAUGGGCACUGCCCGGUGGAGGGGGAUAGCUACUGGACGCUGUUACUAAUACCGCAUACUAGAGGAUAGCCCAUAUGGGAUUAGGUAGUAGGUGGGGUAAUGGCCCACCUAGGCGACGAUCCCUAGCUGGUCGGAGAGGAUGAUCAGUCACACUGGGACUGAGACACGGUCCAGACUCCUACGGAGGCAGCAGUGGGGAAUAUUGGACAAUGGGCGAAAGCCGGAUGCAGCCAUGCCGCGUGUAUGAAGAAGGCCUUCGGGUUGUAAAGCACUUUCAGUCGGGAGGCGUUACCGACAGAAGAAGCACCGGCUAACUCCGUGCCAGCAGCCGCGGUAAUUC
rnacentral:rRNA from 1 species